AUUGGACGCUGGCGGCAUGCUUUACACAUGCAAGUCGAACGGUAACAGGCCUUCGGGUGCUGACGAGUGGCGAACGGGUGCGUAAUGCAUCGGAACGUGCCCAGAGGUGGGGGAUAACGCAGCGAAAGCUGUGCUAAUACCGCAUGUGAUCUGAGGAUGAAAGCGGGGGACCAGGCAGCAAUGUUUGGCCUCGCGCCUUUGGAGCGGCCGAUGUCAGAUUAGGUAGUUGGUGGGGUAAAGGCCUACCAAGCCGACGAUCUGUAGCUGGUCUGAGAGGACGACCAGCCACACUGGGACUGAGACACGGCCCAGACUCCUACGGGAGGCAGCAGUGGGGAAUUUUGGACAAUGGGCGCAAGCCUGAUCCAGCAAUGCCGCGUGCGGGAAGAAGGCCUUCGGGUUGUAAACCGCUUUUGUACGGAACGAAAAGGCUCUGGCUAAUACCUGGGGCUGAUGACGGUACCGUAAGAAUAAGCACCGGCUAACUACGUG
rnacentral:rRNA from 1 species